rnacentral:misc_RNA from 1 species
GAUCCCCGUCUUCGUGCGGCCGACUACAGGCGCCGUGUCCCGUCAUUGGUUUGGCUUAUAUGCUGAUGUUGCCUUUCAAGUGCUUGCGUGCUGGUACCCGACCUACGGGAAGUGGUGCUUCUAACACGUUCGCCUCGCGGUGGACACCUUCGGGUGUGCCGCUGCGGCCUAACGGCGCUUGCGGCGUUUCCUCGUGGUUCCAGCACUCCUAGUGCCCGGUUCUACCAAGGCAGCCUCGCUCACGCUGUUGGUCUCGGAUGUUGCUCACGAUAAAGAGUCUUGGCCCUUUUGGUUGCCACGACCCGACCCUUAAGCUGCUCUCCGAAUUUGAGAACAACCGUGAACAGGUGUUGCCUCUACCUCUCCACAGUUAGUGGUAGGAUACGUAACAUUCUGCGCCGAUCCUCAAUCAAGUAGGAUGAGCUUAGCCCGCUCAAUCGUGACAACCGGCUCGGCCGUUGCCUUGGCCUUGACACGCAAGUGGAAGGGCGGACAAAGACCGACGCUGGACGUCAACGAGGACGUGCUACCUGGUUGAUCCUGCCAGUAG